CUACGGGCUGCUCCAGUGAGGAAUUUUGCGCAAUGGGGGAAACCCUGACGCAGCAACGCCGCGUGAGUGAAGAAGGCCCUUGGGUCGUAAAACUCUGUCAACAGGGAAGAAGUUAUUGUGUAUUAACAGUGCACUUUAUUGACGGUACCUGUGAAGGAAGCACCGGCUAACUCCGUGCCAGCAGCCGCGGUAAUACGGGGGGUGCAAGCGUUAUUCGGAAUUAUUGGGCGUAAAGGGCACGCAGGCGGUCUUGCCAGUCAGAUGUGAAAGCCCGGGGCUCAACCCCGGAAGUGCAUUUGAAACUACAAGACUUGAGUACGGUAGAGGAGAGGGGAAUUCCUGGUGUAGAGGUGAAAUUCGUAGAUAUCAGGAGGAACACCGGUGGCGAAGGCGCCUCUCUGGGCCGACACUGACGCUGAGGUGCGAAGGCGUGGGUAGCGAACAGGAUUAGAUACCCGGGUAGUC
rnacentral:rRNA from 1 species